CGGUAAAUACUGUACAAACGACUUAGUAAGAAUCGGUAAUGGUAGAACUCGAGCGUCGUGGAAGAUGCUGCAUCUCCUGUGCUCCAAGAUGAAGAAAAAAUGAUAAAGCUUGUGCAGCGUUUGAGAAUGGUUCAGCCAGUCUGUACAUAGAAACAAAGGUUAACGAUGAUCAUCACACUGUCCGAAAGAUCCAGAACUGGAAUAUUUUUAUGACGGUGUUUCUGUGUUCUCGUGGUCAGUCCAAGAAUGCCACAUGCUGUCAAGUCGGGAAUCUUUCACUGGAAAAAGAAACCGGCUCUUCAGUAUGGCGUCCAGAUGGCGCUGCAAACUAUCGUUUUUUGUAUUUUGUUCUCCGCCCAGCAGCACGAUGGCUCUAUAGGUGGCGUUGCUGUUGCCUACGAGAACUCCAAAAUUUUCAAGGUUGGUGCAGUACUCAGUAACGGUGAUAAUAUUGCUUACUUGUAUCAAGUGGUCGAGGAUAUAACCUAUGAACCUGAUAUCCUGCCACCAGGUGUUACUCUACACGCGGUAUUUAUACCCAUGAACCCAAAUCCUAUUCGUACAGCCCAGAAAGUGUGUGACGAUUUGAUAUCAGCGACGGUACAUGCUGUUAUUAUCAGUCACCCGAAUUCAGGAGAACUCUCUCCAGCAGCUGUGUCAUACACCUGUGGUUUCUAUAAUAUUCCUGUCAUUGGGAUUAGUUCCAGGGAUAGUUCUUUGUCUGACAAGAAUCUUCAUGCAUCCUUUCUUCGGACAGUCCCCCCUUACUCCCACCAAGCAGACGUGUGGAUAGAGCUUCUGAAGUUUCUUCAUUAUAAGUGUGUCGUCUUCAUACAUAGUUCAGAUAAUAACGGAAGGUACACCUUGGGCAGGUUCCAGAAUUUAGCAGAUAAAGCCAAGAUUAAGCUGGACGAUGUCAUCGAAUACGAACCUGGAUUUACAGACAUCAUUCAGGAUUUGGAAAAAACUAAAGAUUUGCAUUGUAGAGUGUUUAUUUUGUAUGCAAACACUGAAGAUGCUGAAUCAAUUUUUCGUGAAGUGGAACAACUGAAAAUGACUAGUUCUGGAUUCAUCUGGAUCGUUUCUGAGCAGGUCCUAAUGGCACCUAAUAAACCAGAUGGUAUAUUAGCACUCACGUUGGUCAAUGCCUUAGAUGUGAAAGGCCACAUCCGUGAUAGUAUUUACAUCAUUGGAUAUGGCUUAGGAGAGCUGAUCACUAAAGAAAACAUCACGAGUGCCCCAGAUAGUUGUGGGACUGUCGGAAGAGCUUGGGAAACUGGAAAAAAAUUUGUAGAGUACCUAAAAGCCCAAAAACUUCCUGGAAAAACAGGAAGAGUAGCCUUUGAUGAGAAGGGAGAUCGUCUUAACAGUGACUAUGAUAUUGUAAAUGUUGUAGAUGGCGAGACCGUCAAAGUUGGAGAUUACGUAUACUCUAAGUCUCAAAUGGACCUGAAACUCAACAUUAGCGACAUCAGAUGGCCUGGAAACCAAACAACAAAGCCUCUAGGGUAUAUCGUCCCUACCCAUUUAAAGGUGGUCACAUCUGAAGAAGAACCUUUCGUAUGGGCCAGACCCGUUGAAAGCGAUGAUGAAUGCAGUGAAGAUGAAAUCCUCUGUCCACGCGCUAACAGUUCAUUGCAACAAACCUACUGUUGCCGGGGUUACUGUAUGGAUUUACUGAGAAAACUGGGAAAUGAUUUGAACUUUACCUAUGAUCUUUAUCAAGUCGAAGAUGGCCAGUUUGGCAGUUUCGAAUACGUUAAUGGAUCUAAGAAGAAAUACUGGACUGGGAUGAUGGGAGAUCUAGUGUACGAAAAAGCAGACAUGAUUGUUGCCCCUCUCACUAUCAAUCCUGAGCGAUCCCAAGUUAUUGAAUUUACUAAACCUUUCAAAUACCAGGGAAUCACCAUACUUGAGAAAAAGCAACCGAAAAGCUCCACGCUAGCCUCAUUUCUUCAACCGUUUGAACAAACACUCUGGAUUUUGGUUAUGGUUUCCGUCCAUGUUGUUGCAUUAGCGUUGUACCUAUUAGACAGAUUUAGUCCGUUUGGCCGCUACAAAUUACCCAACAGUGACGCUACAGAGGAAGACGCUUUAAACCUGUCCAGCGCCAUCUGGUUUGCAUGGGGAGUGUUACUAAACAGUGGCAUUGGAGAAGGCACCCCUCGAAGCUUCAGUGCCAGAGUCUUAGGGAUGGUGUGGGCAGGAUUCGCCAUGAUUGUUGUAGCUUCUUAUACUGCCAACUUGGCUGCGUUCCUCGUUUUGGAUCGUCCAGAGACAUCACUUACUGGGAUUAAUGAUGCCCGGCUUCGUAAUCCCUUGGAAAACUUCACUUACGCCACAGUAAAGGGAAGUGCAGUCGAUAUGUAUUUUCGACGCCAGGUGGAGCUUUCCAAUAUGUACCGAACUAUGGAAGGAAAGAACUACGACACAGCAGAAGAAGCCAUUGCUGCUGUUAAAUCCGGAGAACUGAAUGCUUUCAUCUGGGAUUCUUCUCGAUUGGAGUAUGAAGCUGCUCAAGACUGUGAUCUGGUAACAGCAAGGGAACAGUUCGGCCGGUCAGGCUACGGAAUAGGCUUACAGAAGAAUAGCUUCUGGGCUGAUCAAGUUACUCUGGCUUUGUUAGAGAUGCAUGAAAGUGGCUACAUGGAGGACUUGGACAACAAAUGGAUAUUGUCUGGGGGUGACAAAUGCGACAACAAACAUGAGAAGUUUCCUGCUACUCUUGGUUUAAAGAACAUGGCGGGGGUUUUUAUUUUAGUCGGUGCGGGAAUUGUUGGAGGUGUAGGCCUAAUCAUCAUUGAGAUCAUCUACAAAAAACAUCAGACUCGUAAACAGCGCAGAAUGGAAUUAGCUCGUCAUGCUGCUGACAAGUGGAGAGGGACUGUAGAGAUGAACCACACCCCAUACCUUUUGUCCCACCCCCUUCUCCUUUCCUGACAAACGAACGCUCUCCAUCCCCCAUUAUUGCAAGACCUUUAGCUAAAGACAGCCUACAGGAAACAAGACAAAAGUCCCCUUAUCGUUACUCAGAGUUGUGGAAGCGACAAUCUGAACUAGAAACGUAAGACGCUUCGUGCAACAUUACAUGCUCAGAAACGACUCAAAGCCAAUGGUAUGGAAGCUUUAACCUUAGAAAAACGAAUGCCGAGGUACACCGGAGGUCUUCUUUUU
rnacentral:misc_RNA from 1 species